UAGUAGUUGUGACUUAUUCACACUAUAUACAUUUGGCUUCCGCAACACAAACAAGAAGCAAAACCAUGUCAACUAAUUUGUUCUGGACUUUUAUCAGAAGGGUUGUAUUCUGUGUUUCAAUGACAUACUUUACCCUAUUGUGAAUCAGUGAUCACAGACGCGGUCAUGAUUAGAUGCAUAUGGAUCUGCUUAGCGGCACAUGCCAUGAAAUUCCUUGUUACUCAAGGGCUUGGAGCAUAUCGAAAGCUAGUUCUUUGGUAGUCAUUUGGCAAAACUUCUAAUGGUUGCAUCUUGCAUUAGCUUGAGAGGCGUGACUUCAAAUGCCAAAUGGUUCAGGCUGAAGACCCCAUUCUGCGUGGCUUCUAAGGGGUGUAAUCAAGGCUUUUACAAUCCUCUGAUUGGAUGGGGACCUGAAAGUUCCUCUUUUUUUUUUUGUCGCAAGGUGGUAUUCUCGGAUAGGAAAGUUUGACUGUGGUGAUCGCUGAGAUGCCUACGUCAAACAUGGAGAGCAGCAUUAUACUCUUUUUACGAUAAUGAUGUUCUAUUUUUGCACGAUUUCAGUAGAGAUACGUUCUUUGGACAACAGUCCAUCUAGAAUGUAGGUUAACAUUUAACCUAGGAGAAAACCUUUUAGCACUAUUUUGUUUUUGUUAUGCUAGAUAUUUGUUUUUAUCAUUUCCUGAGUGUCAAAUAUGUUUUCAUCCA